AGCCGAAACGCCCCUUCUCGGGCGUCGUCACGAGUGGAACUCGUGGCCUGACGAUGGCAACCGACC
rnacentral:hammerhead_ribozyme from 1 species